UACAGAGGUCUCAAGCGUUGUUCGGAUUCAUUGGGCGUAAAGGGUGCGUAGGCGGCGGGGCAAGUCAGGUGUGAAAUCUCGGGGCUCAACUCCGAAACUGCAUUUGAGACUGCCUUGCUAGAGUACUGGAGAGGAGAUUGGAAUUUACGGUGUAGCAGUGAAAUGCGUAGAUAUCGUAAGGAAGACCAGUGGCGAAGGCGAAUCUCUGGACAGUUACUGACGCUGAGGCACGAAGGCCAGGGGAGCAAACGGG
rnacentral:rRNA from 1 species